ensembl:rRNA 5S_rRNA 5S ribosomal RNA
ACCAGUGCCAUAUCACCCUGCAGCCCAAGACUGGUUACUCACUGAAGCUAAGCAGGGCUGAGCCUGGUCAGUACCUGGAUGGGAGACCACAUCGGGGAGCUAGGUUGCUGUUGGAA